rnacentral:rRNA from 1 species
UACGUAGGUGACAAGCGUUGUCCGGAUUACUGGGCGUAAAGAGCGCGCAGGCGGUCGAUCAAGUCGAGUGUGAAAGCCCCCGGCUCAACUGGGGAGGGUCAUUCGAUACUGAUCGACUCGAAGGCAGGAGAGGGUAGUGGAAUUCCCGGUGUAGUGGUGAAAUGCGUAGAUAUCGGGAGGAACACCAGUGGCGAAGGCGGUUGCCUGGAGCUUUGCUGACGCUGAGGCGCGAAAGCGAUGGGGAG